rnacentral:rRNA from 1 species
CCUACGGGCGGCAGCAGUGGGGAAUAUUGCACAAUGGGCGCAAGCCUGAUGCAGCCAUGCCGCGUGUGUGAAGAAGGCCUUCGGGUUGUAAAGCACUUUCAGCGGGGAGGAAGGCGUUAAGGUUAAUAACCUUGUCGAUUGACGUUACCCGCAGAAGAAGCACCGGCUAACUCCGUGCCAGCAGCCGCGGUAAUACGGAGGGUGCAAGCGUUAAUCGGAAUUACUGGGCGUAAAGCGCACGCAGGCGGUCUGUCGAGUCGGAUGUGAAAUCCCCGGGCUCAACCUGGGAACUGCAUUCGAAACUGGCAGGCUAGAGUCUUGUAGAGGGGGGUAGAAUUCCAGGUGUAGCGGUGAGAUGCGUAGAGAUCUGGAGGAAUACCGGUGGCGAAGGCGGCCCCCUGGACAAAGACUGACGCUCAGGUGCGAAAGCGUGGGGAGCAAACAGGAUUAGAUACCCCAGUAGUC